GACGAACGCUGGCGGCGUGCCUAAUACAUGCAAGUAGAACGCUGAAGGAGGAGCUUGCUUCUCUGGAUGAGUUGCGAACGGGUGAGUAACGCGUAGGUAACCUGCCUGGUAGCGGGGGAUAACUAUUGGAAACGAUAGCUAAUACCGCAUAAGAGUAGAUGUUGCAUGACAUUUGCUUAAAAGGUGCAAUUGCAUCACUACCAGAUGGACCUGCGUUGUAUUAGCUAGUUGGUGGGGUAACGGCUCACCAAGGCGACGAUACAUAGCCGACCUGAGAGGGUGAUCGGCCACACUGGGACUGAGACACGGCCCAGACUCCUACGGGAGGCAGCAGUAGGGAAGCUUCGGCAAUGGAAGGAAGUCUGACCGAGCAACGCCGCGUGAGUGAAGAAGGUUUUCGGAUCGUAAAGCUCUGUUGUAAGAGAAGAACGAGUGUGAGAGUGGAAAGUUCACACUGUGACGGUAGCUUACCAGAAAGGGACGGCUAACUACGUG
rnacentral:rRNA from 1 species